AAGGGACGUCUUCGCAAAUCUCUCUGAACUGAACUGAACAGUUCGUUCAGAUUACAUUGAGAAGACUUGUAAUCUCCUUCACCCUGCUAUAACCAUGAUAUUCCGCAUUCUACAACUAGCUAUAUUCUUCGUCAUUAUCUUUUAUGUUAGCAGUAUCCCGCCCCCUUGUCCUGGAGAUUCCUGUCCUCUUGACUGCGUUACACACUACGUAUACGAUAAACGCCACUGCAUGAGGUGUGAAUGCGAGCCGGAGCCCCCUUCUUAUCAUAUUGGAUAAACUUUAUGAUAUACAGACUUUGCAUAUAAGUAAACACUGUACUAAAAUAUAAGAUAUGUUCAUUUUGAUAAAUGAACGCAUUUAAUGAAGUAAAAUAAAAUCUAGAAAGACA
rnacentral:lncRNA from 1 species